rnacentral:lncRNA from 1 species
AAAAACGAGGUAUAUUCCGAAUCUGUUACAAUAAUUAAUAAUUUAGCACUCUGUUCUUAUCCUCAAACACGCCAACCAAUAAAGCGACAAAAAACAUAAACUUAUCAUCCAAGUCAAGCCAUUCCCAAAAGGGUAUCUUCGUCAUUCCACUUGAUCUCCAACCAUUUAUACUUGUCAUCUUCCACGAACAAAUCGCUUCCAAUUUCUUCAUCAUUACCAAAUUCUUAUACAAUCAAUAUAUAAUAAUAAUAAUAAUAAUAAUAAUAAUAAUAGCCUAAUUCACAUUAAUAAUCAUUACUCUAAUAAUAACCAAAUUAAAUUCAUUCAUUCUAUUUNNN